UGUCGGGUCGUCUAAUGGUAGGACAGCGCCCUUUGAAGGCGUUUAUCUUGGUUCGAGUCCAAGCCCGACAG
rnacentral:tRNA from 1 species